rnacentral:rRNA from 1 species
AUUGAACGCUGGCGGCAUGCUUUACACAUGCAAGUCGAACGGUAACAGGCCUUCGGGUGCUGACGAGUGGCGAACGGGUGCGUAAUGCAUCGGAACGUACCCAGAGGUGGGGGAUAACGCAGCGAAAGCUGUGCUAAUACCGCAUGUGAUCUGAGGAUGAAAGCGGGGGACCGAGCAGCAAUGUUUGGCCUCGCGCCUUUGGAGCGGCCGAUGUCGGAUUAGCUAGUUGGUGGGGUAAAGGCCUACCAAGGCGACGAUCCGUAGCUGGUCUGAGAGGACGAUCAGCCACACUGGGACUGAGACACGGCCCAGACUCCUACGGGAGGCAGCAGUGGGGAAUUUUGGACAAUGGGCGCAAGCCUGAUCCAGCCAUGCCGCGUGCGGGAAGAAGGCCUUCGGGUUGUAAACCGCUUUUGGCAGGAACGAAACGGUGUCCGCUAAUACCGGGCGCUAAUGACGGUACCUGCAGAAUAAGCACCGGCUAACUACGUG